rnacentral:pre_miRNA from 1 species
UAGCUUUGUACUAAAAGUCAAACUUCCUAAGGUUUGACCAAGUUUAUAGAAAAAUGUACCAAUAUCUACAAUAUCAAAUAAGUAUACCAUGAUGAUAUAUAUUAUGACUGAUUUAAUAAAAAUAAUUUAGAGUUGUAGAUGUUGGUAGAUUUUUCUAUAAACUUGGUCAAACUUUAAGAAGUUUGAAUUAGGACAAAGCUAA